AUAACACCAAUCAUUUUAGUCUAUCUACCGAAAUGGCAAAUAUCGAGCUUGUUUAAAUACAAAUCAUGAAAUAUAUGCCGCCUGGGUCAAGCCUUACGACGUUUGACUCUCUGUAUUAUAUGUUAAGGCAAUAAAUGUAACGUUUAAAACUUCCUCCCUCCUUCGUGAACUAGCAAUUACAAUGUGAAUAAAAUUUAUAGUUCUAAAUAAAGCCAUGUUAUAUAAAUGUAUAAAUUACAUAUUUAUCUUUACCUCCUCAAACGAUCCGAGGGUCAAUCGCAAAAAAAAAAUAGCAAGCUAUCUUCAAAAAGCCCUUCCCCCAACUAUACUGAGGGGAUCCGUGGGCGAUAGACUAGGGGAAGAGGAGAUGGACCCAUCCACCACCUUCUGGAGGACCUAACCAUCCCCGUAUCUUCAAGAAGAUCCUUACCCGUUUCCAGGGGAUCCGAGGGUUGACCACAAUCGUCGCCUCGCCUUGCCGCAACAAACCUAGUAUAACAGGGCACCUAAUGGGCAGUCUGCACUAUGAAUCUACACCAUCAUCAUUAUCAACCUCUUUAAUUUAUCACUGGGAUUCAUACAAAUGAAAUAGUGUUUCAAAUUACUUAUAAACAGUCGGGUGUAACCACAGUACAUUAUAAAAUACAAUUUUCAUCUAUGCGAUUUUAGCAUGCAUACCUGUACAAGUAAAUCCAAUAUACCAUAUCCUUUUAUUGACCAUGCCGUUGACAGUUUUGGCUAACAUGAUACACAAGAGAAGCAUUCUGGGCUGUUGAAAAUGUAAUUAACGUUUAGAGAUAUUUAUAAAUCUGAAUUUCAAGGAAGGUUUGUACACUCUAGGUACGAUUAUACGCGCGGUAUCACAAAUAUUUAAUGAUAUCUGUUACUUUAAUUUGAUACCGAAUUUUAUCAUCGCUCAUACCUUUUCAGAUUUUUCGAACGUAGUUAAAACAGUACUGUUUUUCAGCUGUAUUCACAACGAAUUUAUCUGCUGAUCUAUGAAAUCUUUGUUAGCUAUUGUGGGUCAUUUUCAGUAUUUACAUGUAGUUACCCCAUAAUAAUCCAAAAUAUAAAACCUUUUCAAAAACAUCCCCAAACAAAAUCCAGAAUAUGUAAAGUGUUAAGCAAAUUGUUCUCUAUCACAAAUUGUAAUCUUUCAUAUUCUCUAGUGAUCGGAAGGAAUAAUGAAUUUAAAAUUUGAAUAUUGUUUUCUUUCAGAGGUACCUAUUGUCAGUAAUGACGAGUAUAGUACCCCGGAUGCAUACAUCGCAGCCUUGUCGAUCUCACUGGUUAUCAACUUUAGCCUGGUCGUUGUCAUUGUUAUAUUAUUGAGGCUACUCUAUAACAGAAAACAAGAGAAGCGUUCCUCAGACUAUAUCGCUAGUUCCGAAAUAUCACCUCCAUCACAAGUCAGCAAUACCGAUGUACACCAGUAUCAGGAACUCAACAUCUCCAAUGAUAGUUCAUAUCAGAAUCUGUCUUUAAGAGAUCGUUCAUAAAAUGUAUUUUGAAUUAAACUGAUUCUUUUCGUUUUCA